CGUCAUGCUGCAAGUCCUUUUAAGGAAGCAUAUAACACCAACCUUGUGAAUCUGAGUCUCUGACUUAUUCUUGCUCCCUGAUUUGAGCUGUUCCUGCUUUUGUUUUGUCUCUAAGUGUCCCACAUUUCACACAAGAGGUUUUCUGUCUUAGUGAUAUACCCUGACUGCUGACGUCACUUCAGCAGGCUCCCGUAAGCUACUGCAUGGGAAAGUGAUGUUUAAGCACUGUUGUAAUUAUCAAAGAAGAGUGGAAGGAAUGAGACACUGCACUCAGCCACCUCUCUCAAGAAAAUGAAAAACAUAGAUAUUAAAUGGACAACAGUUCAGAUUAUAAAAGCAGGUAAUGCUUCAGUAUAGGAAGCCUCAACUCAGUUUUUCCUCAUCUACUUUGGGAAUUUUUCCUCUUUUGUUUCUUGAACAUUGCAAAGGAAAUAGGAAGCCAGCAGCAUGAUGAGGUAAGCGCUGAAAAGAAUCGCUACACUCAGCAUCACAUAUCUGCCUGCAGUAACGAGCACAUGGUCACGAGUCUCCUCAGAUACUUUGCAUUUCUUUAUUAUAUUAUAAAACUACAGGUAGAAAUGUGAAAUGUCUUUUAGAUGGCUAUUCGUCAGCGUAUUACUUUAGAUUUCCUCAGAGACAGAUUUUUUAAAGAAUAUUACUAAUAAUGUCACUUUAUAGGAAUGGAGAGCAUUGGUCUUAAAAUGGGUUUUUGACCAAAGUAUAAAGUAGAAUGUUUAGUUGCAAUUUGAAAUACACUUAUGAGUACAUUUUAAAAAGUUGGCCAAGAUAAGUCUGGGAAGCGUGUCUUCACACUGAUCAAAUCUAAGCUUAAGGAUACAGUACUGCCAGGAACAUGGCCUUUGCCACAGCACCGACGGGUACUGUCACUGCAGAUUCCCGUGUAUGCAUGAAAGUCACAUUGCGUGUAAGUGUCUCAAGCUGUGUUUCCUUGUUUUAGGGAAGCAGUGUAUGUGCCUGGUGGAUCUGGACCGUGCAACAGCAGCAGAAGAACAGGGCUACUCUGUCCAAGUGAUUUCUAUGGAGCCAGAGAGCUGCUCUCCCAAAAAUAACAUGAUCGUGGGCGUCCCCGUGUAGAAUGGGGCACACACACUUGAUGCUUUGCCAUGGGCUUCAUGAGGAGCGCCCAGGGGCAUUCAGGAAGUUGGUGUGUUAGUGGAAGCAGCGCUGAGUGUCUUGAGCCUGUUGAAAAAGCUACAGGAAGAUCUUGGAAGAGGGAUGCUCUGGCUCUGUGUGCAGAAGGAUGACUGCCUUGCUCGAGGGAAUCCCCUGAAGCCUUAGCUGCCAAAAGAAUCAUUCUCAGUGGCCAAGAUUCCGUCAGCAGAACCAUUUCCUCAGACCUUUUCCUGAUCGUGUCAGUGGGAUACUCAAGCCAUGCGCUCACAGCCUUCAUUUUAUAACCUUUUGAUAUUCAUACUUGGUGAUCAAAACUAAACUCGAGGUGGUUGUGGUUUUUUAUAGUUUUAACAAUGUAUCUUUUGUAUAGAUUUUUUAAAUCUAGGAUGGUAAAUUCGAUGUGAUUUUUCCUUUUUUUAAAUCUGAGAUUGGUUGAAUUUGCAUAUCAUGUACUAUCCUCCUUUAAAUAUAUGUCCCAUAAAUUAACAAAUAAGUUUAUUGCUGGUUGAAGACUUCGCAUGAAAAUUUAUAAGUCAAUUGCACUAAAUUAUACAUUCUAAAAGUGGAAUUUAGAUAUAAAUUUUAACUGAACAGUAAAUUUAUGCUCUGUUUAGUUACAACAAGUAAAUAACAAAUGCUAGCAGUC
rnacentral:lncRNA from 1 species